rnacentral:rRNA from 1 species
GUGGCGAACGGGUGAGUAACACGUGAGCAAUCUGCCCUUGACUCUGGGAUAACUGCGGGAAACUGUAGCUAAUACCGGAUACUUUCCUCGCUGGGCAUCCAGCGGGGAAGAAAGAAUUUCGGUCAAGGAUGAGCUCGCGGCCUAUCAGCUAGUUGGUGAGGUAAUGGCUCACCAAGGCGACGACGGGUAGCCGGCCUGAGAGGGUGACCGGCCACACUGGAACUGAGACACGGUCCAGACUCCUACGGGAGGCAGCAGUGGGGAAUAUUGCACAAUGGGCGAAAGCCUGAUGCAGCAACGCCGCGUGAGGGAUGAAGGCCUUCGGGUUGUAAACCUCUUUUAGCAGGGAAGAAGCGAAAGUGACGGUACCUGCAGAAAAAGCACCGGCUAACUACGUGCCAGCAACCGCGGUAAUACGUAGGGUGCAAGCGUUGUCCGGAAUUAUUGGGCGUAAAGAGCUCGUAGGCGGUUUGUCACGUCUGCUGUGAAAAUCCGAGGCUCAACCUCGGACUUGCAGUGGGUACGGGCAGGCUAGAGUGCGGUAGGGGAGAAGGGAAUUCCUGGUGUAGCGGUGGAAUGCGCAGAUAUCAGGAGGAACACCAAUGGCGAAGGCACUUCUCUGGGCCGUAACUGACGCUGAGGAGCGAAAGCGUGGGGAGCGAACAGGAUUAGAUACCCUGGUAGUCCAC